AUGUUAAAUAUAUUUUGUAUUUUAUAUUCUACGAUAUAUGAUUUAUGUUUAAAUUGGCUGGUUUGAGAAGCAUGACUUGAAGUUUAUUGCACUACAUUAUAAAUGGUUAUNGUGGUAUCAAAAGUAUGUGGUUACUAAGUAAUGAAGUGUAAUUCAAGUUGAAAUCNAAGUUCUCUCUGUGUAGAAUCUCUCGGUGAGAUUCUUAGUGUUUUAAAAUGAAAGUAGGGGCUCAGCCUUGGGAGUCAUUAUGACGCUUCAAUGGUCAAUCAAACUCACUUAGAGAGGUUGAACCAUGUGGUGAGAAGUAGCAGGAGGUCUUAGUCUUGGGGGCUCCCAGUAUGCCUCAAGGCGCGGAACGAACUAACCUCGUGAGUGUGGCAGGGUGGGGAACCCAAGUUUCAUAAGUCACCACGGGUGCAAGACUCGCCAUAGCCCGAC
rnacentral:lncRNA from 1 species